rnacentral:rRNA from 1 species
GACGAACGCUGGCGGCGUGCUUAACACAUGCAAGUCGAACGGAAAGGCCUGCUUUCCCUUGUGGAUUGGGGGUACUCGAGUGGCGAACGGGUGAGUAACACGUGAGUGAUCUGCCCCCAACUUGGGUAUAAGCCUGGGAAACUGGGUCUAAUUCCCGAUAGGACUGCAGGGUGGUGCCUGUGGUGGAAAACGAUUUUCUAGUGGUUGGGGAUGAGCUCGCGGCCUAUCAGCUUGUUGGUGGGGUAAUGGCCUACCAAGGCGGCGACGGGUAGCCGGCCUGGGAGGGUGGACGGCCACAUUGGGACUGAGAUACGGCCCAGACUCCUACGGGAGGCAGCAGUGGGGAAUAUUGCACAAUGGGCGGAAGCCUGAUGCAGCGACGCCGCGUGGGGGAUGACGGCCUUCGGGUUGUAAACUCCUUUCGACCGCGAGGAAGCCACCUGGUUGGAAGGGUGGUGACGGUAGUGGUAGAAGAAGCACCGGCUAACUACGUG